rnacentral:lncRNA from 1 species
UCUAUUCUCUAUCAUUUCCGGUGAUCUCUUCGAAUCCGCACAGUCGGAGCUGUUUCGAAGAUCCUGAGCUUCUAGAACUAUCUAGAAUUUAUCUUCAAGCUCUCGCUUUUAAGUAGCUUUAUUUUGACGCUAUACUCAGCUGAGGAUCCAUAAUUAAUUGAGGUUGAUUUUACUUAAUAUUCUCUGUUUUAGUUAUAUUAUUGGAUAUUGCGCUUUAGUAGAAUCUCUUAGUUUAAGUUAAUUGCAUCUUUAAGUUCAUUAAAUGCGUAGAUCUGUCAAUAUGCUGAUUGUUAAGCUUAAUUAUAUGUAUUAGCAGUGAUUUGAAUUUUAAUUACUUCUUAGUAUAGUUUGGUGUCGAUGUGUCGGAGUUGAGAAUUUCAUGUUAUAUUAUGAUUAUUUAUGGUUUUUAUGAAGUGAUUGAUCUAUUUAACUUUUAAUUGUGAUAUAGAAGCUUAAUUUUAGGGAAUAUUAAUUGAAAAAGAGUUAGUUAUCCGAGACAAGUAACAUGAUUGUUUUGUUUUGUGAUUAACUAAGGAAACAAGAUUUUCUGGAAACUGAGGUUUUGUUUAUAAUUUAUUACUAGUUUGGGACUCUAAGCAGGUUGUUGUUUUUUAAUUCGAAAUUUGUGUUGUACUCGUAGUACAUGACUGUUUAUUUCCUUUUGAGAUAGUUUGUGGAAUUAGAGGAUAACGAAGGGGAUGUCGGUGUGAUUCGGUGAUGAAUAAUAGAUUAAAUGAGAUUCCCAAACUACACACUGAUGUCCAAUAUAAUAAUAGUAAUAGAAAUUAGAAGGGCUCGAUGUUAAAACUGAUUUGUAGCUAAAAGUAUAUCAAAUCAAUUUGAGGUCUUGAGCUUUGUUGAGCAUGCGUAAUGUGUUUCAUUUGUCUGAGUGAGAUGAGGAUUUUAUUACUUUCCCUUUACCACUGCAAUGUUGGCCUGAAAACCAUCCUUUCCAGUAGUUACUUGUGUCCUUCAUUCUGCAGUGCUUUGGUAUAGUAAUUGUUUGCAUAAGACAUAUAAUCUCUUAUGCAGCCUAAACUUUUUUUGACCCUUCGAGAGUUACUAGGAACAGAAACCUCCUCCUCUUCUUCUUUUUUCCUGCUGAUUGGAAUAUCUUGCAUGCAGAAUUAUGUGUAUGAUACUGCAUGACUAUAACUGUAAACUUUAGAACAAAAUUUGGCAUUAACUUCUUAAUAAAAAGACCUUUUAAAGUUAAAGGGGUUUAUGUUGCAAACUUUUUAAAUUCAAGUCAUAUGUGAAUUGAGUUUAUUGGGUCAUAUCAAGGCUAUGUUAUGGACUACUUGUAAAGUUCAUGGAAGUUUAAACUAGGUUAAAUUAUAUUACAAGAGAGCUCACAAGACAAUUUGGUUAUGAAGAUUCGACAAAUACAGUAGUAAGAGUACAAGAAAAAUCUAGUGCGACAACUCAUUGGGACACUUUAGAUUGCAGUUGUGAAUAUUCUGGAAAAGAUCAUUUCUGCAGAAAGAGAUAAAACUAUAUCUGAUUACUGUGACACAAUGGUGUCUACUGAGUAGCUUCAUGUUCAG